UACGUAGGGAGCAAGCGUUGUCCGGAAUCAUUGGGCGUAAAGCGCGCGUAGGCGGCUCGAUCAGUCUGUUGUGAAAGUCAAAGGCUCAACCUUUGAAUGCCGAUGGAUACUGUCGAGCUAGAGUCCGGAAGAGGCGGGUGGAAUUCCUGGUGUAGCGGUGGAAUGCGCAGAUAUCAGGGAGGAACACCAACGGCGAAGGCAGCCCGCUGGGACGGUACUGACGCUAAGGCGCGAAAGCGUGGGGAGCGAACAGG
rnacentral:rRNA from 1 species